UACGGAGGGUGCGAGCGUUACCCGGAUUUACUGGGUGUAAAGGGCGUGUAGGCGGUCUCUCAAGUCCGAUGCUAAAGACCGAGGCACAAACUCGGGUGUGCGUUGGAUACUGUGAGGCUAGACGGUCGGAGAGGGCAGCGGAAUUCUCGGAGUAGCGGUGAAAUGCGCAGAUACCGAGAGGAACGCCGAUAGCGAAAGCAGCUACCUGGACGAUUUGUGACGCUGCGGCGCGAAAGCGUUGGGAGCAAACCGG
rnacentral:rRNA from 1 species